rnacentral:lncRNA from 1 species
CUAUAGUAUACUUACUGCAAUGAAAACGUUUAAAAAUACAUCGACAACUGGAUCAUAAUUUGGUGUUGACACAUUUACCAUAACACCAUAUAAUAAAGUAUGCCUAAAAUGACUCAUGGGUAUGGAAGGUUGUGCAGAGCAUCCUCCAAGAGGAUGGGUUUUGGUGUAAAAACUGACCAGCAGGUGGAGAACUAGUAUGGAAGUGUCUCGCCGUUGCUUGGCAACGCAAGUUCUGACAGUUGGCUCUUGGGUAGCUAGCUAGCAGAGUUGUUUACUUGCGACGUUUAAUUUUCUCUGGCUAAAUUAGCCCAGCAUAGUUAUUCAAUUCAGUUAUCUAGGUUGCCAUACACGAGGUGUUAUCCAUGGGCAGCCUUGCCAGUGAGGUUUUGGAUGAGGCCCACUGUUUCUGGGCGACGUGCGCUCAUCCUUGCUGCUGGGAGUCGGAGCAGCGCAUUGCCAAAGGCGUCCCACACUACAUAAAGCAAAGAACAUCAGAUGGGGGCAGAGCCCCUGUAGAUGUGGAAGAGUUUCCAACCCUUAGUGUGGUUAAUGUAUCGGAGUCGACUGAGGGCCAAAAGACCCCUAAAGUGAAGCUGCUUUACAAGACGCUUAGCAAGAAGAAUUUUGCCACAGAUGCCUCUCUAACUCUUCUCUCCAGCCAGACACAAGCCCACCAGCGGGAGCAUAACACAAGUGCAGAUCUUCACGUUCCAGGGUUAAACUCUGUUGACCAUAGUCCUCGUAAUAAACAACACAAGGAAGUAAAGCUCAACACAGCUCAGAUCAAUCAGUUGGCCAGCUGUUCCAGUGCAUCAUGGGGCUCUGGCUCCGUAGUGAUGUGGGUACCCAAUCCCCAACACAUCCCGCAGUGCCAAGCCCGAAACAGGCCUAAAUCUCCCUAUGUACCUGUCAAGGAGCUCAUUUGCCUUCCGUCCUUAAAAACCUCAAAAAUUAACAGAAAUCCAAGAAUUCAAGUCCAAGAGUCCAAGAAUGUGCGGAAGAGGGUGCCGUUCCAGCUGACAACAUUGACGUCAAAGCCGAAAAGUGAGCAUGGGUUGAGCUCCCCAGUGGCACAGCAAACUGUCCACCCAACAGACCUUGCCCUGGCCAAACCUGACACAGACACUGACCCCAACAGGGAGGAGGAGGAGGCCCAGACCCAGGCUCAUACCAGCCCACACCCUCCCCCAGCACCUAGGAUCCCCAGUGCUUUCCUCCUCAGGAACAAGCCUGUGGUGUUCCACAGUGUCAGGGAGAGGGUACUGAGAAGACACACCCAGCAGGACCUCUCAACGUACAAGUACAAACUGGACAGCAAGAAUGGUGGGGGUGGCAUUGACUGGGAUAGUCUGAGAAGACAGACCUAUCUGUGGAGGAAGCACAACCUUCCACCCAACUGUGACAGAGAGAAGCCAUUUCCCCCAGAGGACAUGACUGUCAGCCAGAAAGGCUUUGGUUUCUACCCCAUCCCAAAGGCCAUGCUCCAUCACGACCCAAGGAGCCCUCUGUCCAAAGGUCCAGCUGUGUGGCGCUGCCUGGAAUGUGUGGAUGGGAUGUGGUGUGGCCAUGGUGGUGGUCCACUAGCCUCCAUAUCCAAGUGCCUUAACUCAUUGGUGUCAAAGAGUUCCUUCAAGUUCUGUAGCAGAUCCAACCUCAGCUGUCAAAACCCCUUGCACCAACUCCUAGAUGGAGAUUACCUAAGUGAUGUGAAUCCAGGCAACAAGGGCACCAUCGCUCCUCAGAACUCCAUGAUGCACCUUCAGGACACAGCUUCACACUACAGUGGGAGGUGGCGGUCUGCCCAUGUCUAUAAGUACAGGCACUACAGAGGGAAUCUCUAUAUGAAGUGGAGCUAACCCAGCUGAGCAGUGCUGACCCAUGCUGAGCAAAGACACUGCAGGAGGGCAAAGAAACACUAGACUGGUGUACCUUUUAGUGCACUCAAACAGAUGAAGGAAUAAGUGAACUGACAGACACUUCUCUCCUCUGGACUCAGGUGCAGGCUCUGGACAGUAUAUCUUCACAGACACUAGGUAUCUAAUCUAGAAUCUAACGACCUCUAGGACGGAAUCUUUAUCUCUAAUUUAAAUUGUGUAAUCUACGCCUUCGGGAUGUUUUCUCUGGUUAGUUUGAGACGGACCGUCUCCACACUGUUCGUUCUCCUCUCCAGUGCUGCUGUCAUGGUGGAGAGUGACUGUCCUACCCAGUGCUCCUGUGGUCCCUCACCGCAAUCGUGCCCAGCGGGCAUUAGUUGGGUGACAGACGCCUGUGGCUGCUGUAAGGUGUGUGCCAGGCAGUUCAACCAGGACUGCAGCCCCAGCCAGCCCUGUGACCACAUCAAGGGCCUGCACUGCCACCUGGGGGCUGGGGGAGACCCAGAGAGAGGCCUGUGCCGAGGUAAGGACCAGGAGCACCCUUAACAUCAGUGGGAGAGAUAUGAGGUGGCUGGGCCAGUAUGGGAGUAUGCAGAAUUAUGGGAGUAGCAGCUGGGUAUGGGUUUUUCAGAAUUGUAGUAGAAUUUUGAUCAUUAGAUUGAUCCAGGUAGAUAGUUGUCAAUUGCUCAGCAUCAUGGUAACACACUACCAUAGGGGUAUGAAGUCCACAGUGCUGCUAAUGUCUCUGUUUCUCCCCAGCGGAGGCCCAGGGCCGGCCCUGUGAGUUCAACGGGCGUGUCUACCAGCAUGGAGAGGACUUCCAGCCCAGCUGCCAGCACCAGUGCAGCUGCAUGGAUGGGGUGGUGGGCUGUAUGCCACUCUGUCCCCAGCAGGUGCCCUUGCCCAACUGGCGCUGCUCCCAGCCAAGGCUGGCACGGCCCUGGGACCGCUGCUGUCAGGAGUGGGUGUGUGAUGACAAAAACCACAUCAGUGAGGACCCAGAGGAACUUCCACAGGCAGCCCUACCUGACCCACAACCCCUCCAAAACCACAUCAACAACCAGCUCCAGGCCCAAGCCCUGGCCCAGCCACGCUAUCAGGCCAGCACUGGAGUCACCUUUAGAGGUACAGUAAAGCCUAACCCAAAGGGCCAGUUUCCCAGGCACAGAUUGUCUAGUCAUGGCUUUUCAGUACAGGACUAGGCUGAGAAACCGGCCCUAUAUGUUAGUUUUUCCCAAGCCUUACCCAACAUGUUGCUGAUGACUCUGUCCUUUUCUUCCACAGAGUUGGUGUCCCUCCCCAGCGCCAGAUGCUUCCCUCAGACCACUGAUUGGACGGAAUGUUCCACCACGUGCGGGAUGGGCAUCUCAAGCCGGGUGACCAAUAACAACGCAGAGUGUCGGCUGGUCAGAGAGACACGACUCUGUCAGGUCCGCCAAUGUGACCUGCAGCUUACCCCAGCAAUCAAGGUAAAGUGAGACACAUGGUUAUCAGAUGUUAAUGCGAGUGUAGCGAAAUGCUUGUGCUUCUAGUUCCGACAGUGCAGUAAUAUCUAACAAGUAAUCGAACAAUUCCACAACAACUACCUAAUGUGGGAAAUUGCGUUAGAGCACAUAUAACAUUUGAUAUUUCACUUUUAAUUAUGAUAACUUUUGUAAUAUAUAAUGUUUUUGUGGAAUACAUAGCUCAGUUGUCUAACUCUGUUUGUUGACUGUCCAGAGGGUAAAGAAGUGCCAGCGUACAGUGCGCCCCCAGGAGCCAAUCAGGAUCAACUUUGCUGGCUGCUCCACAACACGCCGCCAUCGGCCUCACACCUGUGGCUCCUGUGCGGACGGGCGAUGCUGCACCCCUUCACUGACCCGCACCGUCCGCCUGCGCUUCCAAUGUCCCGACGGAGAGGGCUUCACACGCAACGUCAUGUGGAUCCAGAGCUGCAGCUGCAAGAAGAGCUGCCACAAUCACAGUUCCCCCUCAAGGCCCUCUGUCAGCCUGCACAAUGACAUCCACAACUUCAGGCACUGAGGCAGGCUUAGGAGGAUGCCCAACCCUAGCCUCAACACACUAGACAGGGCUAGUGCAUGCUAACCUCUCCCCAUCUUCCACCCACCCUCUGCCCAGGGAUAGCCCUGCCUUUCAGUCCCUUCCUGGACACCAGCCUCUCCCUCCUGCACCAGCGCCAGACUAUGGGAGAGAGAGCCUCGGCUAGGUGGCCGCUCCAUCCAACCAGGCAGAACUAUCGCUUGCACUUUAAGCUUCCUAACACGUUGCCACAAGUUAUCAGACAUGAGAGAUGUGGAGCAACUGCUCUCCACAGCCAGGUCCAGUGUCCCUUCCCUGUUGAUCACACAGUUACAGAACUGUUCUGGUGGAGGGGGGGACAGCACUGAGCACAACAGACUAUGGAUGGCCUGAUGUCACUUUCUUGAUGUCAUUUUGAACUUGUAAAUGAAUCAGUUUGGUUGUCUGCUUUUCCCCCUCAUUAUUUAUAAUGUUUAUUUGUUAACAUUGUCAAGUUCCUCUAUAACCACAGAGGAACAAGGGAAAAGGAAUGUAUAUGUAUGUAUGUGAAAGACAUAACUUUUUGUCAUAAUAGAAAUAGUAAAGUAAAUUAGUGAGGCCAGUGAAUGUGUAAGGAUGUGAUGAGUGACGACCAUGGGCAAUCUCAUACAUUCAUGAAGUGUUUUGUCUGAUAAAUCGAUGGUAGAAAGAGGACAGGAUAUCAUUCUACAAAUUCAUCAAUGAUUGUAAUUAACUGUAUAUUACAUUGUGUAAAGUUCAGUGUUUAUGUGUGUGAGAGAAUGAAAGGGCGAGAAACAGAGUGUUUACAUGUGUGUAUUUGUGUCAUAUGACAGAGUAUAGUGUACAGACUUCACUCUUAGUGGAGUGGCAAUUGAUGGAGAUCACCUCAUUUUCCGGGGUGUGUUUUUAUUGCCUCAUAGUAUAGAGACUUGUACUGGAGGGAAGAUUGUAUUUGAUAUAUUUAAGAUUUCUAUAUUGUUUGAAUUCUUAUCAUUAAUACUCAGAAAAAUGUAAUAAAAACAUUCAACACGUG